rnacentral:sRNA from 2 species
AACAUGAUCGAGUUGCUAUUUUUAAGGUGCUUGAUAGCUCCUGUUAUUGCAGGAAUCCAGAUUUUGUCGCGGGUGAAAUAAACUCAAUAACGUUAUUUUCAUCCAUGAAACCAAGUAGGCGUCCUUAUGACGACGAAAACACCUUUUCUCUCUCCUCUCUACCUCUCUUUCUUCUUUUUUUUUUUGUUGUGUUGUCGUUGCUGCUGUUGGUUGGUUCUAGGGUCGAGCUACUGCUAUACCUAAAGAAUGGCAUGGUAUCAUCUCGUCUCAAUUGAGCAAGAUAAAAAAGUCACCAGUUGGUGGAGUUGUCAAAACCUUCAAAACAUCAGCUACGCCGUAUCUAGCACUCACUACCCGUCGUUACCAAUUUGAGUUCAACAACAAUCGGGUACGAUUUUGAGCUCUAUACUGCGGAUGUGUCCAAAUUGAAAUUGACUUGUCACCGACAUCAUCAGAGUCAACAGAAGCCGCCUCUCUACUCAUUUAGAACCGAACAUGUUGCUGGUGAUAUUUCUUUUUUCGAAGCUGUCGUCAUUAUCGAUUUUAAAACGGUUAAGCUUCCAGGCUUUUGAGGGUAGCUAUAUUGAUGAAACCAUGGGAGAAAUGGGGGCCCGAUUGCGUUGACAGACUUCUAAUGCCUCCAGAAGUGAAUAUUUCCCCCCUUUCUACAAUUUCAACCAUGUAGUUGAUAUCUGCAUUAGAUUCAUUCCUCCUCUCUUUAAGCACAGAAGUACGGAUUCAGAAUUCAGAUUCAACUACAUAAUAAUGAUUCUGAGGUUGACCAUUGGUUUUAAAGGAAGGGAGUCCAGUUUACGUUACG